AGAAACUAACUAUGAUUCCUUUAGUAACAGCGAGUGAACGAGGAAGAGCCCAGCGSUGAAUCUUUCGGUCUAUGACCGCUAAGAAUUGUAGCGUAUAGGUGUGGCUUUCUACGGCCGAUGUAUACUCAAAGUCCCUUUGAUUGGGGCCACAGUCCUGAGAAGGUGCAAGACCUGUACGAGUUGCAUUGUGUUGUAGUCGGUUGCUCCUUGGAGUCGGGUUGCCUGAGAACGCAGCCUGAAUUGGGUGGUAAACUCCAUCUAAGGCUAAAUAGUACUGCGAGUCCGAUAGCAAACAAGUACCGUGAGGGAAAGUUGCAAAGAACUUUGAAGAGAGAGUUCAAGAGUGCGUGAAACCACUGGGAUGGAAACGGAUAGAGUUGACGAAUUGGGCGAUAUUCAGCUGUUUUGCGUGAGCAAAGUGGUGUACUUAUCGUUUGUGUGCGCUGAGAGUCUUGAUUGAACAUUCUAAACCGUCGUUUUUUGUUGCCCGUCGUCUCACGACGAUGGUGUCUUGGGCGUGCGGGAUGGGAUGUUUCGAUUAAGUAUUUUCGGUGUGAAAGUCGACCACCUAUCCGACCCGUCUUGAAACACGGACCAAGGAGUCUAGCGUAUGUGCGAGUCAUUGGGUGGUAAACCUAUUGGCGUAACGAAAGUAAAGGUCGUUUCUUGCGGCUGAUAUGGGAUCCGUACGGUUUCGAUCGUGCGGCGCACCAUAGCCCUGUCUCGAAGGCUUGCCUUGAGAUGGAGGUAGAGCGCAUGCGCUAGGACCCGAAAGAUGGUGAACUAUACGUGAGCAGGAUGAAGCCGGAGGAAACUCUGGUGGAAGUCCGUAACGGUUCUGACGUGCAAAUCGAUCGUCUGACUUGCGUAUAGGGGCGAAAGACUAAUCGAACCA
rnacentral:rRNA from 1 species